rnacentral:rRNA from 1 species
AUGCACGCUGGCGGCGUGCCUAAUACAUGCAAGUCGAGCGAACAGACGAGGAGCUUGCUCCUCUGACGUUAGCGGCGGACGGGUGAGUAACACGUGGAUAACCUACCUAUAAGACUGGGAUAACUUCGGGAAACCGGAGCCAAUACCGGAUAAUAUAUUGAACCGCAUGGUUCAAUAGUGAAAGACGGUUUUGGUGUCACAUAUAGAUUGAUCCGCGCCGCAUUAGCUAGUUGGUAAGGUAACGGCUUACCAAGGCAACGAUGCGUAGCCGACCUGAGAGGGUGAUCGGCCACCCUCGAACUGAUACACGGUCCAGACUCCUACGGGAGGCAGCAGUAGGGAAUCUUCCGCAAUGGGCGAAAGCCUGACGGAGCAACGCCGCGUGAGUGAUGAAGGUCUUCGGAUCGUAAAACUCUGUUAUUAGGGAAGAACAAAUGUGUAAGUAACUAUGCACGUCUUGACGGUACCUAAUCAGAAAGCCACGGCUAACUCCGUG